AUUGAACGCUGGCGGCAUGCCUUACACAUGCAAGUCGAACGGUAACAGGUCUUCGGAUGCUGACGAGUGGCGAACGGGUGAGUAAUACAUCGGAACGUGCCUAGUAGUGGGGGAUAACUACUCGAAAGAGUGGCUAAUACCGCAUGAGAUCUACGGAUGAAAGCAGGGGAUCGCAAGACCUUGUGCUACUAGAGCGGCCGAUGGCAGAUUAGGUAGUUGGUGGGGUAAAAGCUUACCAAGCCGACGAUCUGUAGCUGGUCUGAGAGGACGAUCUGCCACACUGGGACUGAGACACGGACCAGACUCCUACGGGAGGCAGCAGUGGGGAAUUUUGGACAAUGGGCGCAAGCCUGAUCCAGCAAUGCCGCGUGCAGGAUGAAGGCCUUCGGGUUGUAAACUGCUUUUGUACGGAACGAAAAGCCCUGGGUUAAUACCCUGGGGUCAUGACGGUACCGUAAGAAUAAGCACCGGCUAACUACGUGCCAGCAGCCGCCGUAACAC
rnacentral:rRNA from 1 species